rnacentral:rRNA from 1 species
GGGGGAAUAUUCACAAUGGGCGCAAGCCUGAUGCAGCCAUGCCGCGUGUAUGAAGAGGCCUUCGGGUUGUAAGUACUUUCAGCGGGGAGGAAGGUGUUGAGGUUAAUAACCUCAGCAAUUGACGUUACCCGCAGAAGAAGCACCGGCUAACUCCGUGCCAGCAGCCGCGGUAAUACGGAGGGUGCAAGCGUUAAUCGGAAUUACUGGGCGUAAAGCGCACGCAGGCGGUCUGUCAAGUCGGAUGUGAAAUCCCCGGGCUCAACCUGGGAACUGCAUUCGAAACUGGCAGGCUAGAGUCUUGUAGAGGGGGUAGAAUUCCAGGUGUAGCGGUGAAAUUGCGUAGAGAUCUGGAGGAAUACCGGUGGCGAAGGCGGCCCCCUGGACAAAGACUGACGCUCAGGUGCGAAAGCGUGGGAGCAAACA